AUGGGGAGAAGAGAGCCAGAGUGAGUUGCCCGAAAGUGGAAUCAAAUCAAUAAGAUAAUUGAGUAAAGGAUCGAUGAUGACUGGAGUACUAUGGAGUAGUAGUAUUAUGUGGAAACACAUCUGUUUCUUCUGCUCAACCCAAACUUCCAAGCAUAUAUAAUAGACAAUAAAAAUUAAGAAGGUGAUUCAUGUUCAUUUACCAUUCUAUUUCCGAAGCUAAUAGACGCACAAACAAAUAGAAGAAUGCAGAAUAAGGCAUGUACAAAGCAGAAUAUUCCACCAGUAGACAGAAAAUGACUAUGCAAGGCUGUGCAUGACCCUCUUGAUUUGGAAAUUUCUAAUGUGCCUGUAAUAAGCAUAGGGAAUCCAAUGGCAGCUACAAUCCAGGAGAAAACGAGACAUGCAAACCAUAGUUGCCUGUUACUGGGCGAUCUUUCCAGCUGUUCCAUGCAACAAAUGCACAUAAAGCCACCAUGCAAGUUAGCUGCAAGGUGGGCUACUGCCAAAAGUGCUGUGGCAGCUACCCCAAGCCUGAAUCCGUCACCUUUUGUUUCUCUACACUGAAAACUCCCUGUCUUCCCGUUUGGGACGAUCAUCUGUACGCUUGUUUCUAUCUUGUUCGGCUUGAAUGCCGAAAAUUCCAGCAACAGCAUCUAUUCCCACAAGCACCAGACAAACAAGAAAAGCACCAAUUCUUGCCAUAUCUUUUUCCAAUCUGGAAGCCGAUGAGCAAAAUUAAACAAAAAGCUUUAUAGAGAAGAGGGAAGAAACGUGAACGAAAAAGAGAGACAACUUUGUGGGAGAAUUUCGCUCAGGAAGUUUCUGGUUCGAGGAAAGAGAAGAAUAACGAUGUACGAUAAAAACUAGUAGCAUAGAGGCAGCUGA
rnacentral:misc_RNA from 1 species